ensembl:lncRNA
CUUGGGAUGGAGAGACCCAACAGAGAGCCCACGUUUUGGCUGGUGGGAUGGAGAGCCCCACGCGGGCAGUGCGCAGCGAGGCUUUACCUCCUGCAGCAGACAGGAGGCAAGAAGGGCAAGAAAACGGGCUGAGGGAAUUAAAGCCCAUCGUAACGCCCUCCAAAGGGGCACACUGAGGGCACAGACCGUCCUUAAACACCGCUUCCUUCCCCCAUAUAAAUACUCGGUAUGGCAAUAAAGCAAAAAGAAAAGGCCGCGGUGCCCGGAGAGCCCCCCCAGCACCACACAGAGCCCUCCCCGCCCCUCAGUGCAGCACAGGGGGUCCUUCUGCCCAACCCCACACACAGAAGGCAAAACCGUUCCCACUGCGCUGCCUCGGUGACCUCAUGGCCCUCAGCGAGGAGCCGGGCUGUAAUCAUGGCCCACGUGUUAUUGGUGGCUUGGAAGCGUUUAUUCUUAAGAGGGGACCGGUUGGGAGACAGGCGCUUCAAAGGACUCCGGAGAAAGCAAACAAUUAUGGACAAAUCACCUCCACACACACAGACACCGGGAAUCGAAACGCAAAGGGCAGAGGGCUGUCUGUACAGGGAGAUGAAGCAACUGUUUGUCUCCUUGAAGCACCACCCUGCGUGUGCGUUACGUUAACCGUCCAAAGCAGGCAAAACCAGAUGAAAGCAUAAAUAGAAACCCAUGAGCUCACAGCCCUGGGCCCUCCAGGCCGAGCUGCACAGCCAGGGACGCAGCACGGAGACGUGCUGAGGGCACCGGGAGUUCCAGCCUCACACCGUGCUGUAUGCUGGGCUGUGCAGCUCACAGCCUGCUCCCACAUUGCCCACUGCUGGAGCACUCCGUGUCCUCCCAGCAGGCUGACAGGACACCACACAGCACAGCACUGCACAGCAUGCUGUUGUGCAGCAGUUUGGGAUGUGCUCUAUGGGAAAGGGAAACUUGCAAACCUCUCUUCCUGCCGUGGGGUUCCUCCCCGCUGCUCGCUGAGCGUGGCACAUCAGCAGGCUGUCCUGCAAAGGAAGAGGUGAUUUUGCUUGGAACUCCGCUGCCAUGGCCGAGCAUUGCCACACUGAGUACCCACUGGGCACAGCCGUAACUUCGAGCUCUGCAACUGCAAAGGUUGUUUUGCAAAGCUCCAAAGUGGGGCUGUGCGGAGAGCGCCGUUCGCAGCUGCAGUGUGAGGGCAGUGAGGAACAGAUGGGCUGCUAUGGAAAUGGGGAGGAAGAGCCCCUGGAGGUGAGGGGAGUUUGGAAGUCGUGUGCAGACGCAGUUCAACUUCCAAGCUUAUCCCAGUGAUGGGUAAGGAUAACUGCUAAGGAUAAUUUCCUCCCGAAGGCUUUUUUAUGACACCACAUUCGGUUUGCAUUGAAUGUUCAGGGCGAGCUGAGGCUGACAUCAGAAAAUUCAUCCGUGGAGAGGAUUUCUUCAUCCACGGAAAGAAAAGGACUUCUUGUGCCCACCUCCCCCUUAAGGCUCAGCUCUGAGAGGCAUCCCAGUCACUGUAGGUACAGACAGUGGGAAAGGAGACUCCACAAACCCCAGCUCUUGGGACCCAGCCAUGGCACAGCACAACCCGGUGCUAUUGGGGUGAGCACCUCCGAGCAGUGCUGCCUUUUAGGAUGAGUGCAGGGCUCACAGGAGCAGCACAAACCCGUGGUGCUCCUUUAGGAGCCCAGCACACGGAUUGCUGCUGGCGGCGGACUUUGACCUCUGGAAGACCAACGGGAAAAGCUCAAUCCACAAAUCCCAAGGACUUUUCGUCUCGUUAUACAACACGGCAGUCAGGUUCCCAACCUAAACAUGUCCGGCCAUGGCAGAACCCAAACCUGGCAGGCAAACUACACCGGUAGGGAUUGCACACCUGGAGCUGAACCAGAAUCCUGCAUACAAGACCCCCACUCAGCAGGAAAGCAGCCCAGGCCUUCAUAGACAAGUGCAGUCAGCAGCACUCUGCGUUGCUCUGCUCAGACUGCAGCGCAGCUCCUGUCUGCCCCGGGAAAGGAUGUGAGCAAUCCCUGACUGCCUCUGAUUCACCGAGGAACAGCCAGACCAAAAAUCACUCCAGAUAAAAAACGCUAAGCUUGGCUUCACUGAUAAUUUAUCUAAUGGCUGGGAAGAUUGGGCUAAUAGAAGGGAGACGAGAGAGAGCAGCACUACAUUGCUAUGGAAACCAGA